UGCGUAGGGGGCGAGCGUUGUCCGGAGUUACUGGGCGUAAAGGGCACGCAGGCGGUGCGGCGCGUUUCGCGUGACAGCGGAGGGCUUAACUCUCCGAGGAUGCGAAAGACGGCGGCACUUGAGGGCCAGAGAGGGACACGGAAUUCCGGGUGGAGUGGUGAAAUGCGUAGAGAUCCGGAGGAACACCGAAGGCGAAGGCAGUGUCCUGGCUGGUGACUGACGCUGAGGUGCGAAAGCUAGGGGAGCGAACGGG
rnacentral:rRNA from 1 species